GCCGCGGUAAUUCCAGCUCCAAUAGCGUAUAUUAACGUUGUUGCAGUUAAAAAGCUCGUAGUUGAAGUGUGGGUGGUGCUGUCUGAGUAACUUCGGUUAGUCAGAUGAUCACUACCCCCUUCCAGUAUCCAGUAGUGGGUAUUCACUUACUUACUACUGUGUGUUGGUCGUUUACUGUGAGAAAAUUAGAGUGUUCAAAGCAGGCGUUUGCUUGAAUAGAUUAGCAUGGAAUAAUAAUUGAAGGCUUUCGUGUUCGAUUUGAUUGGUUUGUUCAUGGAAGCAAGGUUAAAAGGAACAGUUGGGGGUAUUCAUAUUCACUAGUUAGAGGUGAAAUUCUCGGAUUUAUGGAAGAUGAACAAGUGCGAAAGCAUUUACCAAGGAUGUUUUCAUUAAUCAAGAACGAAAG
rnacentral:rRNA from 1 species